CCUACGGGAGGCAGCAGUGAGGAAUAUUGCGCAAUGGGGGAAACCCUGACGCAGCAAUGCCGCGUGAAUGAAGAAGGCCUAUGGGUUGUAAAAUUCUGUCAGAAGGGAAGAACAUGUCGGUUAGCAGCUGAUAUUGACGGUACCUUCAGAGGAAGCUCCGGCUAACUCCGUGCCAGCAGCCGCGGUAAUACGGGGGGAGCAAGCGUUGUCCGGAAUUAUUGGGCGUAAAGGGUGCGUAGGCGGACUAGUAAGUCUGGUGUGAAAGUUCACGGCUUAACCGUGAAAGGCCACUGGAUACUGUUAGUCUUGAAUCACAGAGGGGGUAGUGGAAUUCCAGGUGUAGCGGUGAAAUGCGUAGAUAUCUGGAGGAACACCGGUGGCGAAGGCGACUACCUGGCUGUGAAUUGACGCUGAGGCACGAAAGCGUGGGUAGCAAACAG
rnacentral:rRNA from 1 species